rnacentral:tRNA from 2 species
CGCGGGAUGGAGCAGUCUGGUAGCUCGUCGGGCUCAUAACCCGAAGGUCGUUGGUUCAAAUCCAGCUCC